UACGAAGGGUGCAAGCGUUAAUCGGAAUUACUGGGCGUAAAGCGCGCGUAGGCGGUUCAGUAAGUUGGAUGUGAAAUCCCCGGGCUCAACCUGGGAACUGCAUCCAAAACUGCUGAGCUAGAGUACGGUAGAGGGUGGUGGAAUUUCCUGUGUAGCGGUGAAAUGCGUAGAUAUAGGAAGGAACACCAGUGGCGAAGGCGACCACCUGGACUGAUACUGACACUGAGGUGCGAAAGCGUGGGGAGCAAACAGG
rnacentral:rRNA from 1 species